rnacentral:rRNA from 1 species
GUCUAAGUUGCAGUUUUGUGAGUGCGACGUAAACGAUAAUCGUGCAGGAGAGUAAGAUGCCAUCCUAUCAGUUAGUAAGUAGGGUAAGGGCCUACUUAGACGAAGACGGGUACGGGGAAUGAGGGUUUGAUUCCGGAGAGGGAGCCUGAGAGAUGGCUACCAGGACCAAGGUCAGCAGCAGGCGCGAAAAUUAUCGAAGCCCGCCUAGGGGCGAUAGUGAGGAGACGUGUAUUCGAAGUACGUGUAAAGAACGUACUAAUAACUGGAGGUCAAGUCUGGUGCCAGCAUCCGCGGUAAUUCCAGCUCCAGGGGUGUCUAUGAUGAUUGCUGCGAUUAAAAAGUCCGUAGUCAAGCUGACUGACUGACCUGCAAUGUGAUUGAUUAAAGAACGAGCAGGGUUAGGAAAGCAGAGAAUUAGGAGCGACCGAGGGCUAGAGUAUUGAAUGGCGAGAGGUGAAAUUUGAUGACCCAUUCAGGAGUGACAAAGGCGAAGGCACUAGUCAAGGGCGAAUCCGAUGAUCAAGGACGUAGGCUAGAGUUUCGAAAACGAUUAGAAACCGGAGUAGUUCUAGCAGUAAACUAUGCCGACGCCGUGAUAUUGUUUUUUGUGGCGGUAUUGCGGAAGAGAAAUCAAGUAGGGCUUUGGGGAGAGUACGCGCGCAAGCGAUAAAUUUAAAGGAAAUUGACGGAGGAACACCACAAGGAGUGGAGUGUGCGGCUUAAUUUGACUCAACGCGGGACAGCUUACCAGGCCCGAUAAUCGAGCGAGCGUAGUACGCGAUAGAUUAAAGAGUGGUGCAUGGCUGCUAUCGACAGUUGGGGUGACCUUAGGGUUAAUUCCGGCAAGUAGUGAGACCCCUGCAGAUAGUGGACAGGUAUUUUUUAAAAUACAGGAAGGAAGGGACAAGAGCAGGUCAGUGAUGCCCUUAGAUGGCCUGGGCUGCACGCGCACUACAGUGGUCAUUAUAAGU